rnacentral:rRNA from 1 species
ACGACGCUGGCGGCGCGCCUAACACAUGCAAGUCGAACGGACGAGAAGGAGCUUGCUCCUUCAAGUUAGUGGCGGACGGGUGAGUAACACGUGAGCAACCUGCCUUUCAGAGGGGGACAACAGUUGGAAACGACUGCUAAUACCGCAUGAUACAUUUGAGCGGCAUCGCUUGAAUGUCAAAGAUUUUAUCGCUGAAAGAUGGCCUCGCGUCUGAUUAGCUAGUUGGUGGGGUAACGGCCCACCAAGGCGACGAUCAGUAGCCGGACUGAGAGGUUGACCGGCCACAUUGGGACUGAGAUACGGCCCAGACUCCUACGGGAGGCAGCAGUGGGGAAUAUUGGGCAAUGGACGCAAGUCUGACCCAGCAACGCCGCGUGAAGGAAGAAGGCUUUCGGGUUGUAAACUUCUUUUAAGUGGGAAGAGCAGAAGACGGUACCACUUGAAUAAGCCACGGCUAACUACGUG